CCUACGUGGGGCUGCAGUGGGGAAUAUUGCGCAAUGGGCGAAAGCCUGACGCAGCGACGCCGCGUGAGGGAUGAAGGUCUUCGGAUCGUAAACCUCUGUCAGCAGGGAAGAACGGUCACUGUGCUAAUCAGCAGUGAAUUGACGGUACCUGCACAGGAAGCACAGGCUAACUCCGUGCCAGCAGCCGCGGUAAUACGGAGGGUGCGAGCGUUAAUCGGAAUUACUGGGCGUAAAGCGCGCGUAGGCGGUAUGUCAAGUCAAGGGUGAAAUCCCCGCGCUCAACGUGGGAACUGCCUUUGAAACUGACAAACUGGAGUGUGUGAGAGGAUAGUGGAAUUCCAGGUGUAGGAGUGAAAUCCGUAGAUAUCUGGAGGAACAUCAGUGGCGAAGGCGACUAUCUGGCACAUAACUGACGCUGAGGAGCGAAAGCGUGGGUAGCAAACAGGAUUAGAUACCCUAGUAGUC
rnacentral:rRNA from 1 species